GCACGUAGGUGGGUUUCUAAGUCCGUGGUGAAAUACUUCAGCUCAACUGGAGAACUGCAUCGGAUACUGGGAAUCUCGAGUAAUGUAGGAGCACGUGGAACGGCUGGUGGAGCGGUGAAAUGCGUAGAUAUCAGUCGGAACUCCGGUGGCGAAGGCGAUGUGCUGGACAUUUACUGACACUGAGGCGCGAAAGCUAGGGGAGCAAACGGGAUUAGAUACCCCGGUAGUCCUGGCCC
rnacentral:rRNA from 1 species